GGAUGCGGGGAGGAACCAGCAACCGGUCCUCAUCUCCAGGGACAGGAGAGGGUGGGAUGCCCUUGAAAUUCUGUCCCUGGAUACCACGGUUUAGGCAUGUGCUCUCUCACGCUUCUAGAGCGGGAGGGAUGGAAGCGUGCCCUGCCACGCCGCACGUGUGCGCUCCGCGGUGCCGUGACUCCCUGCUCUACUCGCUUCCAGAGCAGGAAGCCAGCGCAGGUGGGAUGAGAGGCAACAGCGGAGGAGAUGAGUUUGUCUUACUUCUCCUGCCUGCGGGAGCUGUGGGGCUGGCGGUUUGCUCAAGCUCUACGGAGCUAAAACACGCAGACUCUGCCUCCCGACUGCCCGGCUUUGGCGCGUUUGGUUUCUGCUCUGAGGAAGGUGCUGCUGCUCGAAUGCCUUCGUUCCCUGGCUGUUUUCCUUCCGGUUCAGUGUUUCACCUGAAAAAAAUUCUACGUAUGACUCUGAAGCUCGACAUUUUAAUUCCUGAAGCUGGGAGGAGGAAGGAAGGCACAGAAAAGGUAACACAACUGCUGCUGCUCUGGAAGCCACUGAAAUAGAUCAUUCCUUUUUGAUCUUCAGCAAAAAGAAAAAAAGACCCUAUGAAAAAAUGUCUAAUAUUCUCAAAUUGGAAGCCUGUUUACAUUGUACCAGGGUUUAUUUUUCAGUGUAUUCCUCCUUUUGAGCGACUUUCUCUACCCACUCUGCUCCUCUGUACUUGCCACAUUUCUCUGUGGAUACUUUUGCCUUCCUCAUUUGCAGUAUCCUGUCCCACUGCUGUGUGAAGUGAGUGGCUUUGCUGAUGAUUGGCCGAGAUGUUUUGUCUGCCAUCUCCUACACAGUCACAGGGGUCGAGGUGUGCUGAGUAUCAUACAGGUGUGUCGAAAAGGCAGUAUGGGCACUGGUAUCCACAGCUCUCACUGAAUCCACUCAGCUAUGAAAGGAAAAACUUCAUUUCUAGUCCUAUGUUAAGUGUUAUUCCCAGGUGAGAAGUGAAGCUGUAUCCAGGAAUUUACUUCUUCAGUUUUAUGGUGUUUAGUCAUCACAAAGCAUACCUUCAACUAAUUCUGAACUGCUGUGCUUGGAAGAUUUGGUUCAAAUGAGCAACCCUAAGCUGAACUAAAAUGUGGAUAUGUCAAUAAACUCCCUCAGCCACUAUCCUCACAUGCUGGAUUCUGCUCUGUGACCAAAUGUCUGUAGUCUUUAAGGCAUUCAUCCCAAGAAGCACUACAGAAGUAAGUCCAAAGCAAUGUAUCUUUUCACUGGUGUAUGGCAACUCUUAAAUAUAUCUGAUGCAGCUUAUUCAGAUCUGCUUUGAAUCAGAAGAACAGCAGGGAAGGUUAAAAUGCAUUUGCUUGUAGCAAUUUCUCUUUCUUUGAAAACAUAUGGUUCCAGGGGAAAGGUCUCAAAGUUAGCAGGAAAACUUGAGAAGAUUUCACUUCCCCACUAUACAGCAUGUUAUCCUGGGUCUUAUGUGUGAAGCUUGUUUUGAUUUUAUAUGAGGCAAAAGCGAGAAGUCACCAGCAGGUCAGCUGAAAUUUCUAUACCUUGAGAAAAAAGUCUUGAUCCAGUCUGACUUGUAGACAGUGUGAGUUUCUUGUUUGUUUAACUUUCAACUCAGGAUCCUCUUGCAAGCCUCACAGGAAUGUGUUGUCAAGACCUUUUUGCCUUUCUGGAAGUGUUGUCUUUGGACAUUUCAGAGCAAAGCACUGAAAGUUUUCUCAUCACCCAGAUAGUCCCAUAGCAGUCCACGUGUCUUGGGAGCCACUGAGCCACUUCACUGCAUACAGCUGAAGUAAACAGAACCCUUAGGUAUGAUGGACCUCAGUGCAAAGCCACAGACCCUGUGGGAAUGAAGCACUUCAGAGAGACACAUUUCAGUCUUAAAAACCUGCAGUAACCUUGGGAGAAGUUACUCACACCAACAGAUAAUCAGCUCAAGAGGAUUUCACUUACAGUGCUGAAACACUGACCCUCUCUGCAAGGUGAGCAGCUCUAUCUGGAGUAUCUUGAGAAGUUCAUCCCCCUCUGAUGGAAACCACCCAUGGAUGUGAUUCUUAUCUCAGUCUGGGCAUGCUGUCAGUGGAGGUAAAACUAGGCUGAGGACACAGCAGCUGAUCAGGGCUCCAGGGGGUCACCCCUUGCUGGAGGAGAAGCCUGGUGGAGCCUGAGCCUUAGAUGUGGGCUGGUAAUGCUGCAAGGAAGCUGAGAAGCAAUGCCAUGGAUUUCAGUAAGACAUGAGAGUCAUCCCUGGAUCUGCACCCGCCUGAACGCCAGAGGGGGAAGAUGCUGUUCCCUCCUCUAGAAAACAUACUGAAAGCCAUUCUUUUGAAGUUUCACGGAAUUCUUCUGGGGUAAGUCGGGCACCCACCUGAGUUAUGUAUUUCUCAAGCUGUCAAAUAUGUGGUUGUUUACCUCAGUUUUCUCAAAUAACCCCAAAUAUCCAACUCACACAAGAGCCCAAAUUUAAACUUCUGUUUUGGAAACCCUUGGCCACAUUUGUUUCCUGGUUGAAGUCUUAAGACAGUAAAAUGGUUUUGUUUUAUGAAAACAUUGCACAGUAGUUGACUAAACAAAGCCCAUUAAAUAAAAGCAAACUACUGGAAGCCUUUGCAGCCUUCCCCUGCUACAGCAGGAAAACACUCAUAUUGUUUUGGCCACUCGGUGUCACAUUUCAGGAUUUCUAACUGCCAGCUUUAUCUGUAAUAGUACUUGUUUACCAUGGUUAUUCAGAAUUGCAGAAGAAAGCAAGUCUGUCCUGGGAAGUGUCUUUUUCCUUCCUUCUCAAAUAUCAGGUGCACGCAAGGUAAUCCAGACAAACCUGGUGAGUCUUAACUAUGGUGGUCUAAAAAGCGAAAGGGCUCUGUGCCUGGUGCUGCUUGGAUGAAGAAGCAAAUCUUAAAUCUGUGCUGUGCCAAGGCUGGGAGGGGUGUUGGACUGGGCUGCAGCAAGCCCGAUGCAUCCAUGCCCAUGGAAUAACAUCUGAGCACAGGGCAAGUUGUGGAGGAGCCCAGUGUGGGCAGCCGCUGGGGCACAAGCAGUGUGGAAGGCUCAGACAUGGAUUUGGAUCUGGGCUUGGACGUUUUUAUGGUCUAUUUGGUGAUUAAAUUGUAUUUUAAGAUUCUCAGGACACCACUGUCUUUGGAGCCCACAGGGAUCACCUUUCUUCUGCAGGCUUGAGUCACCAUUCAUUGUUUGAUGAUUUGAUUCCUCUUGGCUGCCUUUGACGCUGUCAGCUCCACUGUAAUGUUUCACUGGCCUAGAAAAUGACAGGCGCCUUUUUGAGCAAGAAAGUUCAAGAGCAGAAAUAAAUUCUAUUUUUAAUCCUUCUUCUCAUUUUCCGUGGGUGACACAAUUUCUCACAGCACAGCAGUUCCAGGGUGUGGUGGUGUCACAGAGCUUGCCUUGCAGCCUGUUUUACAGAUCCUGACCUGUUUACAUGCUUUCCUCUACUUGAAAGUUUCAGGUUUGGGGGUUAUUGUACUACUAAUACCUGAAUGGCACUUUGAUUUAUCACAGUGGGUUGGCAACAGAUCUGUGGGAUGAGAAAAUACAAGCUAGGAAUUUAAAGAAGUACUCAAGCAUUAACAAAGCUGAACUGUGUCAAGUGGUGAUAAAUUUUCCACUAUACCCUUGAUCACCUUGUUAUUAAUGUCAUCAAUCUCUCUGUAAGAAGUGGCUCUGGGCAUGCCCAUAUGACCAGAUGUUCUGCUAAAUAAUUAAUCACUGGGUCAUGUUGCCAGAGUUUACUGCUUUCCAAUUUAAUCUUAGCAACUUACUCAUUCGUUUCUUUAUUUGGAAACAAAAAGCUUCACGGAUAAAAAUGAGUCAAAUAUACUGAUAUGUACACGUGUACAUUAGCUUGCGCUAGAAAUGUCUUCCCAUCUUUUAAAACAACACCCCAAAAUUAACAGUUGUGAGAAUGAUCACUUCAGGAACACAAGCUGUUUCUGCUGCCAGAACUCACAUCCCAGCUGGCUCUCCCUGCCCCUUCAGUAGUAACUCAGCCCUCUCUCCCUUUUAAGAGGGCAUUUAAAAAUGCCACACUACCAGGAUAUCUCUAGAAAUAAAACAUUACAAUGUCAGUUUGAUUGUUUAAUUAAAAAUUACCAGGGAUACCUGUCCCUUUGUUGAACUGGUAUUGUUUGUAGCUAAAGCAAAAUAAGUUCUAAGCAAACAGUUUAAAAAUAUUAUCUUCUCUUCAGUUACAAUUAAUUUAAUUUAGACUAGCACUGUAUUAACUUGUAGCAUUCAAUUAUUUAAUGAGUCAUGGAGAAAGUUUGCUAAUUAUAGAGCCAUUCAUUUUUCACAGAUUUGAAGGCGUACACUGACAUAUAUUCCAUCAAGACCAUGAGCUUUGUUCCAUCCAAACCCUUCUUUAAUGGUCUCCGUUAUUUCACAUAAGAAGUCAAUUUGAUUGUAAUUUAACCAUAUGUACUCUCCUAUACUACUUAAUUUUGCUCGUGUCCCUCCAGGGAUUUUUAGCUGAAGGCUCUUUUAUCUGUUAUAUCUGUGACACCGUUGGGUUUUCCCCCUCUAGCUUCUUCCCAAGAAUCAGUGGGCAGCAGCCUGCUCAUCAAGGAUUAAUGCCAGCCUUCCACACGUUUACCCAUUCAGACUCUCCUCUUUCAGUGUGGUUCAUGGUUUUGUUUUUAUUAAUUCCCCCUAGAUAUUAGUUAGAAUUGGCCAAAUAUAAGAUGGGCUUUGUGUUCUCUUUCCUAAUGAGUCAGUUGACUGUACUUCCAAAUCAGUAUUUUCAUAGGAUCACUUGCAAUUUUCCCUGCUAUUUACUGCUUGCUACUCAUUCUCCACUGUUGAACAAAACAUAUGGCAGUGUUUUUUUUUCCCCUUGACUGCAUGCCUGAAACUUUUUAAAAGGGAAAACGAGAAUAGUUAAUGAGCUUCUCCUACUGGGAAUCAAAAACCCUAACCAAACAAGCAUUUAUGAAUACACGAGUGUCGUUAGUAGGAGCCACGAAUAUUUUCACUGAUACUUGUCCCUGUCUGAAUGCUCUAGAAUGAUACAGCUACUUAUUUGCUGCCUUUAUUUCUGUUAGUUGCCUUUCUAAUGAAAAUAUAAAUCAGAUACUGUUUUAAUUUCCCAUCACUAUGCAUGGCUUGUGUAGGCAAAGUCACUGUCUCCCACAGUCACCAGAGCAUGUGUCUUGUGCAGUUUAAAUUUCCAAUUAUAAACAUAUAUUAUCCAUAAUUUUAUUGGUGACUGUUAUGUGUACUAUCUAUCCCCAAAUUCUUUGGUUUUCCUAUGGGAUACCCAGCAUAGACUUGUACAAGAAAAUUGUUAGUGUGAUACAUUACACUAGUAUCUUCCAAAGCCCUGCUCUGUAAAGUCUACAUUUAAGCAAACGGUGUGGUAAAAUCCCUGAUAUCGUGAAAAGCUUUGCCUAUGCUGUAUGUAAACAUCAGGAACCUAUGAAGAACCUCAAGAAAAUAGUGAAUACAUGUAGGAAUCCAUUUAAAUCAAUAUUUAACAACAAAGUUGUUGUUUCUGUAUAUGUGUGUACAUUUUUAAGCCUUACGGGUCUGUAAAAUUGAAGUUGCUUUAUCAGUGUAGGCUGCAGUUAUGUUUCACUUCUGAUGCUGAGUUGAAUUAGGAACCACAGGGAUUGCCAGGGACCAGGCUAUCCAGUCAGGGGUACUGUCUCCAGCAUCCACCAGCACCAAAUGAUACAGGGAGAAGCUUAAGAAAUGUCAUUGUAGACUAGUGGAUUGAACACAGUUUUGUCUUUUUAAUUGUAACUCCUUAGAAAUUAGUUUAAAUGCUAACAAAAGAAAGUUUGAAAACCUGUUAGAAUUUAAUAGUUAGUUCUAAGUAUUUUUGUUGUUAUUUGAAUGUCUUGCUCAUACCUAAAUUAUCUUUAGAUAUGGAAUGCACUGGACAGCUUUUUAGGACAAAAGAGAUGCUCUGUGAUGAUUAUGUGUGGUCCUGCAUGCAGGAAGACCCUGGCAGGCUUGGAUGGUUGGUAUUGGGAGGGCAAUUAAAAGUACUUCAGGUCCUUUGGUGUCUAACAGUUUGCCCACUCCCCAGUUACAGGCCUGGAGUACUAGUUUGGCUGAUGUAGCUGUUAUCUCCUGCAGACAAGCAGUAAGAACUGGGGGGUAUCAACACCAAAGGCCUCACAGUUUUUCAAAAAACAUCCCUCUGGGGUGGUAUGUCACCAACAACUCCUUAUUUACCCUGAAGACUGCUAGAGAUACAGCCAAUAGCUGGGUCUAUUUGGAGUAAAUACAGCUACUUACACAGCAUUUGGAUUUCAAAUCACUCAAAAGUUCAGGCAAACUUAAACCAUGCACACAGAUGCACCCUCUAAUAAAGGUAAGACUGAAAUACAAAGUUUACAACAAAUCUGUAUUUGAAGUUAAACUUUCUUUGGAAUCUCCUUCUCAUAAAAAUUGACAGUAUUCAGAUCUAGCAGUUUAAUAAGGAUCACAUUUAAUUUCAAGUUGUGGGCUCCAUGUAUUUCUCACGGUGAGGCUUUUGCCGAGGUGUUUUACCAGUCAGUCACUGGUGAUUUCCCAGGAGCAAACAAGAACAGAGGGUUCAGUGUGAGAUCUGACACUGAGCAGAUGAGCUCUGUGCUGUCCAGUGCUUUAUCUCCAAUCUUCCUUUACAUCAAAUUGCUUUUCUAGUUUUAUUCUGAACCUUCCUUGCUUUGAAUGAUAUGUGAAAGAUGGUGUGAUUCUGUAAUUGUGUGAUUCUGUGACACAAAUCUGGGACUCCUUUCCUUGUGCUAACAUUCACAUUGUAUUUAUUAACUUUAUCCUGUCUCUACCAAUAUAAGUAA